UCUUGGAUGCCCUUGAGGUAAUCUAAAACAUAUCAAAAAAUUAAUUUCAAAGUGAACUAUCUCUUUAAGUUUGUGGGCCACUGUGCCUUUGAGGUGUGUUUGCGUGCUACGAUUUAGUGGUUUUCCUUUUGCUUGUGACUGUAAAAUAUGUAUUUUAGGUAGGUGGAGAAAAACAUAUUUUGAGUUUUUAUAUUUGGGAUUGUAGUUGGGCUACUCUUGGCAGACCUCACUACAUGCCGUGUGCGCAGAAAGUGUCAAAAAGUGUUUGAAACUGACAUUGCAAUAUUUUUUACUUUCUUUAUGAAUUCAUCUGGUUGCCAAUAGUAAAUUCAGAUUUUAGGUCUUAGAACUACAAACUGACUAUCUCUAAUUGAAUUACUUUAUUAUUGACUUUUUAAAACAUGGAGACAAUUUAAAUUAUGUUCUAAUGAAAGAGUGACUGAGCGGUCAAAGAGGCCAAUGUUUUUAUGUUAUAAACUGACAAAUUGGUGCAUUUUAGUAGCUUCCAAAUAAAUGUCUUGCUAACUAAUUUUUUUUUAUUUGUUGUCAGGUCAUUGAGUGUGUGUGUCAGUGCAUUUAAAAGUAGUAAAACUAUGAGAUGCCUUUAGACUGAGAUCAUGGAAGUGCUGCCUGGAAAUUUUCUCAUAAAUUGUGCGUCAAGUCUCUGAUGUAACGCAUUACUGGUAAACAAAACAAUUUGCUUGGGCAGGGAAAACUGUUGAAUUGACCCGUCUGUCUCUUGGGUUGCAUAGACAUUUUUCAGGUUUUAGACAUGGCAUUCAUCAUGCCAUGUGAAUUAUUUAUUAUCUGUGGCCAAAUGUAAACAUGACAUUGGUAAAAUCCUACUCUGGGGGUUCUCUGGCUUUUUUCUCCUUUUUUGUCACUUAAUUGUCACUCUCUAACUCACAGAUUGUACUCGCAAAACCAGGAUUAUUGACGUUGUGUACAAUGCCUCCAACAAUGAGCUGGUGAGAACCAAGACCCUGGUGAAGAACUGCAUUGUUCUGGUGGACAGCACAUCGUACACAGGCAGUGUAUAAAGCUCACUAUGCCAUUCCUUUGGGCUGCCAGAAAGUUACAAAACUGGCCUGGCCAGUGUGGCAGAGCAGGCGGAAUCAUGUUGGAAGGGAAAGAGCUGGAGUUUUACCUCUGGAAGAUCAACGGCAAACAGACAAGCAAUACAACCAGAACUCUACAGUAUAACCGUUUAAGGGUGAAAAUGAAUAUCAUUGUGCAAAAAUUAUUCAGGUCACCAGUGUGAAUGAUUAAUUCCUAAUGGGCUAACAAAAUUGGCUGGGUAAUUUUGUCCUGAAAUAUUGCAUUUUGCACAACAUUUCUUACACUUUCGUGCACCUACGGUCACUUUUGCACAUUCAUGUUACUAUUUACUGUUACUAAUAAUUUAAUCUUAUUUUGUUUAUUUAUUUCCAAUAUUUAUUUCAAUAGUAGACCUGAUGUUUGUGUCUUAAACGGUUAGUUCACCCAAAACUGAAAAUGCGGUCAUUAAUUUGACUAGGCUACUCUACCUGACUAUAUAAUUGUCACAGUCUUUGUCUGCACCAUUCUGUCUUUGUCAUCUUCACUACACUUCCCAGCAUCCUCUUGUCUCCACACCUGAACUCACUCCCUUAAUCAUCUUCCUGUUCAUCGUCCUGAUCAUCUGUGUCACCUGUCAUCACCUUGUUAGUGUUCAUUUUGUAUCUGUAUUUAGUUCUCUCUGGUUCAGUCUGUGCUUGUCCGUUCUUGAUUAUGUUUCAUGGAUAGUGUGUGUAAUCUUCUGCCAGUCUUCCUUGUACCUGUUUGGAGUUUUUGAGUAAAUGUUUUGUAUUGGAGCUUUG